rnacentral:lncRNA from 1 species
GGGGAUUCUAACGCACAACUCAAGUUUGAGAACUGCUGCUCUAAACCAUGUUCUCAAGUGUUUGAAUUACUUAAGAUAUAUAUAUAUAUUUUUUAAUACCAAUGCCUAUGUCUGAGGCCCAGAGAUUCUGAUUUAAUUGGGGUGGGGUGCAGCCUGGGCCUCGAGAGUUUUUAAAUCUCCCUCAGGUGGUUCUAAUGUGCAGCAAGGUUUAAGAAGUUUCUAACCACUCAGAAUACCUCACACAAGCUUUGAGGAGAAGGACUUGAGACCUUCGCAAUCAGAGGGUGAAUGGAGAGGCUGCUGACCAACUGGCCACUCUGAGGGGAGGGAUCAGGAUCUUACACACACCAGAUUCAUUGUUGGGAAGCUCUGAACUGAUGACAAUGUGGUGUCAUCGAUGAAAAUGAGGCAAGUAUUUGGUCUCCCUUCAAUUGUUUAGCCACUAG